AUGGUCCUGCCGCGCCGGCGCGGCGGCCACAACCACCACCCGUGCCCGUGCCCGCGCCGCGCCGUUCUGCCGGCGGCGGCGCUACUGCUGCUCUUCCUCCUCGCCGCCGUCACGCUGCUCUACGUCUCCCCGCCGCCUCUGUCCGACCACCCGGCCCUCGCCUACUCCCGCCACCGCUCCCCGCAUGCUCUGCUGAACAGCUCUGGCGGCGGCAGCCUAGUGGAGCCCGGGCGCCGCGAGAUUUCCCGCGUUCCAAAAGGUGGUUGGACUGCGACAGAUGGCCUCUGGGGUUCGAAGCUCGCUAGCAAAUUCUAUGGGUGCAGCAACUCAAGCAGCAAGUUUCUUGAUUCAGGUGUUAUGACACAUCCAGACCGUUAUUUGAUGAUUGUUACAAGUGGGGGCCUCAAUCAACAGAGAACAGGGAUAAUUGAUGCUGUUGUUGCUGCACGUAUUUUAAAUGCAACACUUGUUGUUCCCAAAUUGGACCAAACCUCCUUCUGGAAAGAUGCAAGUGACUUUGCUGAAAUUUUUAACGCCGACUGGUUCAUCUCAUUUCUAUCAAAGGAUGUAAGGAUUGUGAAAGAGCUUCCAAAGAUAGGAGGUAAACUGUGGGCUCCUCAUAGAAUGCGUGUGCCCCGCAAAUGCACUCAGCGAUGUUACUUGAACCGUGUGUUGCCUGCACUUAUUAAGAAACAUGUUGUUCGACUAACAAAAUUUGAUUAUAGGCUAGCAAACAGGUUGGAUUCUGAUCUGCAAAAGCUGAGAUGCAGAGUUAACUACCAUGCAUUGAGAUUUACUGACCCAAUACAAGAAAUGGGUGAAAAGAUAAUACAGAGAAUGCGGGAGAGGAGCACGUAUUUUAUUGCUCUUCAUUUAAGAUUUGAACCAGAUAUGCUUGCCUUUUCUGGGUGCUACUACGGUGGUGGAGAAAAAGAGAAGAGAGAACUUGGUGUGAUACGGAAGAGAUGGAAAACCUUGCAUGCUAGCAAUCCAGAGAAAGAAAGAAGGCACGGUAGAUGCCCGCUAACUCCUGAAGAGGUGGGGUUGAUGUUGAGGGCACUGGGCUACAGAAACAAUGUUCAUAUUUAUGUUGCCUCUGGAGAUAUAUAUGGUGGGGCAAAGACAUUAGCACCCCUGAAAGCGCUCUUCCCCAAUCUUCAUACCAAAGAAACAGUAGCAAGCAAAGAUGAGCUGGCUCCGUUCUCAAAGUACUCAUCUCGCAUGGCCGCACUUGAUUUCAUUGUCUGUGAUGGAAGCGAUGCUUUUGUGACCAACAACAAUGGUAAUAUGGCCAAAAUUUUGGCUGGGCGAAGGAGAUAUCUUGGGCAUAAGAGAACGAUCCGACCAAAUGCGAGAAGGCUCUACUUGUUAUUCUUGAGCAGAGGAAACAUGUCCUGGGAUGCAUUCUCCUCCAAAGUGCACAUGGCCCAGAAAGGAUUUAUGGGGGAGCCCAAAGAGCUGAGGCCAGGAAGGGGGGAGUUCCACGAGAACCCCUCGACAUGUAUAUGUGAAAACACCGAUCCCAAAACACCGACCAAACCUAACCUUCAAAGCGAGCAAGGAUUGAGUAAUGGCAGCGAGGGAGGGAAAGCCAUUACCGAGCCCACAGUUGCUAAUCAUACCAACGAGGAGUUGGGAGGAUCCAGUGCGGAAGAAGAUGACACUAGCGCGGAGAAAGAAGACGACACUAGUGCGGAGAAAGAAGAUGACACUAGUGAAGAGAAAGAGGAGAUAGCUGACCCGGAAGCGGAGGAUGAUGCGUUGGUGAGACCAGAUGAUCCUGAGUUGGAGGAGGUUCUUUCAGAUUAG
rnacentral:rRNA from 1 species